CAAGGAGGAGGUGAAGCACCAGAGAAGAGAGGAAUAGCUACUGUGGUGUCUUCCUCCUCCCU
ensembl:miRNA